rnacentral:rRNA from 1 species
UACGGGGGGGGCAAGCGAUGUUCGGAAUUACUGGGCGUAAAGGGCGCGUAGGCGGCUUUUCAAGUCGGGCGUGAAAUCUCCGGGCUUAACCCGGAAGGGUCGUUCGAUACUGUUGAGCUAGAGUGUGGAAGAGGCAACUAGAAUUCCGUGUGUAGCGGUGAAAUGCGUAGAUAUACGGAGGAAUACCUGAGGCGAAGGCGGGUUGCUGGGCCAACACUGACGCUGAGGCGCGAAAGCCAGGGGAGCAAACGGG